CCUACGGGAGGCAGCAGUGGGGAAUAUUGGUCAAUGGGCGAAACACUGAACCAGCAACGCCGCGUGGAGGAUGAAGGCUUUCGGGUUGUAAACUUCUUUUGAUAGGGAAGAUCAGUACGGUAUCUCACGUGUAUACUCCGUCUCACUCUACGUCAGCAGCGGCGGUAAUAUGCAGGGUGCGCGCGUUAUACGGAAUGACCGGGCGUAAAGGGCGCGUAGGCGGGGUAGAAAGUCAGAUGUGAAAUCCUAUGGCUUAACCAGAGAACUGCAGUUGAAACUGGUUUUCUAGAGUAUGGGGGAGGUAAGUGGAAUUCUUGGUGUAGCGGUGAAAUGCGUAGAUAUCAAGAAGAAUACUCGUGGCGAAGGCGGCUGACUGGAACACAACUGACGCUGAGGCGCGAAAGCGUGGGGAGCAAACAGGAUUAGAUACCCGAGUAGUC
rnacentral:rRNA from 1 species